AGCCACGUAACCCAAUUGGCAGAGGUGUCUGGUUCAAGACCAGAAAGUUGCGGGUUCGACUCCCGCCGUGGCUA
rnacentral:tRNA from 2 species